GGCUCAGAGAGGGGGACCUUCGGGCCUCUCGCGUCAGGAUAUGCCCAGGUGGGAUUAGCUAGUUGGUGAGGUAAUGGCUCACCAAGGCGACGAUCCCUAGCUGGUCUGAGAGGAUGAUCAGCCACACUGGAACUGAGACACGGUCCAGACUCCUACGGGAGGCAGCAGUGGGGAAUAUUGCACAAUGGGCGCAAGCCUGAUGCAGCCAUGCCGCGUGUAUGAAGAAGGCCUUCGGGUUGUAAAGUACUUUCAGCAGUGAGGAAGGUGGAUGUGUUAAUAGCGCAUUCAUUUGACGUUAGCUGCAGAAGAAGCACCGGCUAACUCCGUGCCAGCAGCCGCGGUAAUACGGAGGGUGCGAGCGUUAAUCGGAAUUACUGGGCGUAAAGCGCAUGCAGGUGGUUUGUUAAGUCAGAUGUGAAAGCCCGGGGCUCAACCUCGGAAUAGCAUUUGAAACUGGCAGACUAGAGUACUGUAGAGGGGGGUAGAAUUUCAUGUGUAGCGGUGAAAUGCGUAUAGAUCUGAAGGAAUACCGGUGGCGAAGGCGGCCCCCUGGACAGAUACUGACACUCAGAUGCGACAGCGUGGGGGAGCAAACAGGAUUAAAUACCCUGGUAGUCCACGCCGUACACGAUGUCUACUUGGAGGUUGUGGCCUUGAGCCGUGGCUUUCGGAGCUAACGCGUUAAGUAGACCGCCUGGGGGAG
rnacentral:rRNA from 1 species